AUUGACCGCUGGCGGCAGGCCUAACACAUGUAAGUCGAGCGAGCGGCGGACGGGUGAGUAAUGUAUGGGGACUGCCCGAUAGAGGGCGAUAACUACUGGAAACGGUAGCUAAUACAGCAUACUAUCGGAUAACCCAUAUGGGAUUAGCUAGUAGGUGAGGUAAUGGCUCACCUAGGCGACGAUCCCUAGCUGGUCUGAGAGGAUGACCAGCCACACUGGUACUGAGACACGGCGCAGACUCCGACGGGGGCAGCAGUGGGGAAUAUUGCAGUAUGGGCGCGAGCCUGAUGCAGCCAUGCCGCGUGUAUGAAGAAGGCCCUAGGGUUGUAAAGUACUUUCAGUCGGAAGGCGUUACCGACAGAAGAAGCACCGGCUAACGCCGUGCCAGCAGCCGCGGUAAUAC
rnacentral:rRNA from 1 species